AGUGGGGAGAACGUGAAAUGCUCCGGCGCCAGAGGAUGUGGCUGCGGCCGAUUAGGUAGACGGUGGGGUAACGGCCCACCGUGCCAGUAAUCGGUACGGGUUGUGAGAGCAAGAGCCCGGAGACGGUAUCUGAGACAAGAUACCGGGCCCUACGGGGCGCAGCAGGCGCGAAACCUUUACACUGCACGCCAGUGCGAUAAGGGGACUCCAUCUGCGAGGGCAUAUCGUCCUCGCUUUUCUGUACCGUAAGGUGGUACAGGAAUAAGGGCUGGGCAAGACCGGUGCCAGCCGCCGCGGUAAUACCGGCAGCCCGAGUGAUGACCGCUAUUAUUGGGCCUAAAGCGUCCGUAGCUGGCCAGGCAAGUCCAUCGGGAAAUCCGCGUGCCCAACGCGCGGGCGUCCGGUGGAACCUGCUUGGCUUGGGACCGGAAGACCUGAGGGGUACGUCUGGGGUAGGAGUGAAAUCCCGUAAUCCUGGACGGACCACCGGUGGCGAAAGCGCCUCAGGAAGACGGAUCCGACGGUGAGGGACGAAAGCUCGGGUCACGAACCGGAUUAGAUACCCGGGUAGUCCGAGCUGUAAACGAUGUCUGCUAGGUGUGACACAGGCUACGAGCCUGUGUUGUGCCGUAGGGAAGCCGUGAAGCAGACCGCCUGGGAAGUACGUCCGCAAGGAUGAAACUUAAAGGAAUUGGCGGGGGAGCACUACAACCGGAGGAGCCUGCGGUUUAAUUGGACUCAACGCCGGACAUCUCACCAGCAUCGACAGCAGGAGUGACGAUCAGGUUGAUGACCUUAUCAGACCUGCUGAGAGGAGGUGCAUGGCCGCCGUCAGCUCGUACCGUGAGGCGUCCUGUUAAGUCAGGCAACGAGCGAGACCCGCACUCCUAAUUGCCAGCAACACCCUUGUGGUGGUUGGGUACAUUAGGAGGACUGCCAGUGCCAAACUGGAGGAAGGAACGGGCAACGGUAGGUCAGUAUGCCCCGAAUGUGCUGGGCGACACGCGGGCUACAAUGGCCGAGACAGUGGGAUGCAACGCCGAAAGGCGACGCUAAUCUCCGAAACUCGGUCGUAGUUCGGAUUGCGGAUUGAAACUCAUCCGCAUGAAGCUGGAUUCGGUAGUAAUCGCGCCUCAGAAGGGCGCGGUGAAUACGUCCCUGCUCCUUG
rnacentral:rRNA from 1 species